GCAAUCAUAAUGCUAACAGCAGUGACAGCAGACACAAUGUCAAUUUUGAUAGAUUACCUAUCUUGAGCAAGAACUCAAAAAGACUGGCUGGUAGAAAAAGGAUUCCUGCUAAUCCGCCUGCCUGCGCCCCAUUGGUGGAUUGAGGCAGCAUUGGGGGCCAGAGGGAGGAGGUGCCUGAAUUCAAUCAAACAUCAAACACAAUCAAACUGGUGCCAGCAGGACGGAGGAUGCGUUGACAGCUGUAAUUAUCCAUCGCCAUGGUGAUCACUUUUGGCCUGCCGUGGAUGGCCGGCGGAUGCCCCUCCUCCAGUCAGCCUUUAAUCAGAUUGGACUGUCAGUUGUCAGGUAGACAUGGGUGGGCCGGACACUCUGUAUGUGCACCGUCUUGGGUCCCUAAGUGUUUUUAAUUAGGUAUUUCCAUCCAAAAAGAAGACAAUACUAGAGCCAGAAAAUACAUAUAUACAUAGUUGACAGUCGAGUUGAAUUGAGGAGCCACUAAAAUGUUUGUCCACUUGUCUGUUUACAGAACAGGAGCGUAGGUGGACUUGUUGUGAUUUUGUAUUUAUAGGACAUAUUAUUGCAACACACAGGAUGUCUCUUUGUGGUUAUCUAUAGCAUCUCUUUGUAUCUCCAUAUAAUAGCAAACAUCAUUGUGUCAAUGAUCCCUUGUUUGUUUUUGUCUUAUUUAUACUUUGCAGUAAUAUUUCUAUUGUGUAAUUAAAGGUGUAUGAACCAAUGUGUACCAGAUUGCAUGGAAAAAAAAUUAUGAUUAAAGUUAUAUUUGUGUUUUAUCUAAUUAUUGCAAUGCUCCUUAGUUCACAUC